GGAUUCCCCUAGUAACUGCGAGUGAAGCGGGAAGAGCUCAAAUUUAAAAUCUGGCGGUCUCAGGCCGUCCGAGUUGUAGUCUGGAGAAGUGCUUUCCGCGCUGGACCGUGUACAAGUCUCUUGGAACAGAGCGUCAUAGAGGGUGAGAAUCCCGUCUUUGACACGGACUACCAGUGCUUUGUGAUGCGCUCUCGAAGAGUCGAGUUGUUUGGGAAUGCAGCUCAAAAUGGGUGGUAAAUUCCAUCUAAAGCUAAAUAUUGGCGAGAGACCGAUAGCGAACAAGUACCGUGAGGGAAAGAUGAAAAGCACUUUGGAAAGAGAGUUAAACAGUACGUGAAAUUGCUGAAAGGGAAACGCUUGAAGUCAGUCGCGUCGUCCGGAACUCAGCCUCGCUUUCGCUUGGUGCAUUUUCCGGUCGACGGGCCAGCAUCGAUUUCGACUGUCGGAUAAAGGCUGAGGGAAUGUGGCACCUUCGGGUGUGUUAUAGCCUCCAGUCACAUACGACGGUUGGGAUCGAGGAACUCAGCACGCCUUUAUGGUCGGGGUUCGCCCACGUUACGUGCUUAGGAUGCUGGCGUAAUGGCUUUAAACGACCCGUCUUGAAACACGGACCAAGGAGUCUAACAUGCCCGCGAGUGUUUGGGUGGUAAACCCGAGCGCGUAAUGAAAGUGAAAGUUGAGACUCCUGUCGUGGGAGCAUCGACGCCCGGACCUGACCUUCUGUGACGGCUCCGCGGUAGAGCGUGUAUGUUGGGACCCGAAAGAUGGUGAACUAUGCCUGAAUAGGGUGAAGCCAGAGGAAACUCUGGUGGAGGCUCGUAGCGAUUCUGACGUGCAAAUCGAUCGUCAAAUUUGGGUAUA
rnacentral:rRNA from 1 species